GAUGAAGAACGCAGCGAAACGCGAUAUGUAAUGUGAAUUGCAGAAUUCAGUGAAUCAUCGAAUCUUUGAACGCACAUAGCGCCUUCCAGUAUCCUGGGAGGCAUGCCUGUCCGAGCGUCGUUUCAACCCUCGAGCCCCCGUGGCCCGGCGUUGGGGAUCUGCCCAGGCAGUCCCCGAAAACCAGUGGCGGACCCGUUACAGGCCCUUCCCUUGCGUAGUAGCAUUCGCCUCGCAUCGGGAGCCGGCGGGCUUCCAGCCUCUAAACCCCCAUCAAGUCCGCCCCGGCGGCACCAAGGUUGACCUCGGAUCAGGUAGGAAUACCCGCUGAACUUAAGCAUAUCAAUAAGCGGAGGA
rnacentral:misc_RNA from 1 species